UAAGAAUAUUCCGCAAUGGACGAAAGUCUGACGGAGCGACGCCGCGUGGAUGAGGAAGGCCGAAAGGUUGUAAAGUCCUUUUGUCGAUGAAGAAUAAGCGGUGGAGGGAAUGCCAUCGUGAUGACGUUAGUCGGCGAAUAAGCCCCGGCUAAUUACGUGCCAGCAGCCGCGGUAACACGUAAGGGGCAAGCGUUGUUCGGAAUUAUUGGGCGUAAAGGGCGCGUAGGCGGACCUGCAAGCCCGGCGUGAAAUCCUGGAGCUUAACUCCGGAACUGCGCUGGGAACUGCGGGACUAGAGUCAUGGAGGGGGAGUUGGAAUUCCAGGUGUAGGGGUGAAAUCUGUAGAUAUCUGGAAGAACACCGGUGGCGAAGGCGAACUUCUAGCCAAUGACUGACGCUGAGGCGCGAAAGUGCGGGGAGCAAAC
rnacentral:rRNA from 1 species